ensembl:snoRNA
UUUCCCAUUUGACUAUCACAUGUUCUCCUAAUUGUAAAUUGUGGCUGUGCUUGUGGGAUAGAUUAAAGGCGCCACAAUCUGAAGAGGUUGGGUUUUCCAGUGUCCUUCCUCUGUAUGAAAUGGGUGGACAGAAAAAU